rnacentral:lncRNA from 1 species
GAGACUGGUUUGUCUGAUGCUGCUGCCGGAGCUGAGGUCUUGCCUGGAGAUCCGAACGAGACACCACGUCAACCGGCGCGGGGAGUCCCGUGAAGACAUGAGGGCGCCAGGAGCGCAGGCUGGUCUUCUAGAGCCCGGGCUGGGGGUCCGGGGUCCGGGGUGGGGGAGGGGAGGCGCGGGGCCCCGGGAGGGAGGGGUCGGGAGGCGUCGGCUGGGCCUGGCGGUGGGGGAGGAGAGGAGAGCAGCGAGGAGGCCCUGGAGUUCCCGAGGCGGGGGGCCGGGGUGCGAGUGGGCGACGCGAGGCGCCCCUCCCUGGGCUGCAGGGAGAGCGCUGAGAGCGCGGAGACGCCGCGGGGCUAGCGCCUUCUCCUCUCCGGGUGGAUCAAAAAUCGAGAGGAAUGUGCGGCGCUCUGCGCGGGCCAGCCGAAAGGGGCAAUCCGAACUUGACCGCGGCGCCCGCGCCGGGCUUUGCCCCCGCGCGCCGCACUGGGAGGGUGGCGCUCUGCCGGUGCAGGGCAGCGCCGGGCUUUCCUCGCGCCUGUCGAAGGCCGGCCUUCCCGCUCGGGUGUCUCGCCCUCUCGCUUCUCCGCAGGGCAGGAGGCAGUGGCGAGAAAAGGAGCUGCCGGCCGGAGUUCUAGCACCGAGAAGGAGAGAUGAGGACAUUGAGGAUCAGAGAUGUUGAAAAACUUGCCCAAGGAUGCACAAGUGGAAUGGUGACUGUUGUCUCUUGGGCACAGGUAGCUGCCAACAGGUGAGCCUCUCAGCGGAUCCCUGAUAGAGGUAGGAUGGCAAAUAGCUUCUUUAAUAUGACAGCCUCAGUGUAGUGGCUGGCAAGGAGCUGCGAUUGGGAGGAACUGGAAGUGACACCCAAGCUCAUUGAGCAAGCAUGCUGUGAGUGCCAUGAGUAAGUAGUCCCAGCUGAUGAGCUUAUCAGGGGGUUGCCAGCGGGGGUACUGCCCAGGGUGGAGAUGGAAUGGGAGACAUAGCCAUACCUCAGAAGGAUAUGCAGCUCCUACGAGGACCUAAGUGGAGCUGGGUCAGCAUGGCCCCAGUAAGCACACAGCAGGCAGAUCAGCCACAGACUUCAGCAUCAAGGCCUUCCAGGGUGGGAACUAGAUGAACUGGAGGACAGGCCAGGAACCUGCACAUAUGAAUCAUGUGGGCCAAGGACCUUCCUCCCCUUUCCUACCACCAUGAAGCAGACCCUUCCCCCAGGAGUCAUCUUGGAGAAAAAUGGGAAAGUGGAGCAGUGGUAGGGGGCAGGGGGUGCUGCAAUACCAAAAUAUCCAGAAGGCAUUUAAAAUUAUUGGACUAGAUGACAUUUAAUUCUCCUUCUUUACUCAGUAAAGUGAAGAGCUCAGGAGAAAGAUUGGAUCAAUUAUAGAAAAUAAUGAAGGUACAUUUUCUUUGCAUAACUAAAUGUAGGGUAAGUACAUUUUGAAUUUGCUAAAAUUGUCUUUGCUCUGCCUCUGCACACGUGUGCACACGUGCACACACACAAAUGGCACUUCUGGGAGUUUUUCCUUGCUACCACCUCCUCUCAAUAAUCAAUGCUCACGAAAGCAUUUGUGAGAAAUGUGGAGUUUACUGUGGAGAUUCAAAGGGAAGAUGAUGGAGGUUUCACUGUAACCCCCACAACAGAUUCAUAUUCCACUUUG